CGGCAAACGGGUGCGGAACACGUACAGAACCUUCCUUUAAGCGGGGGAUAGCCCGGAGAAAUCCGGAUUAAUACUCCAUAGUAUUAUUGAGUGGCAUCAUUUAAUAAUUAAAGAUUUAUCACUUAGAGAUGGCUGUGCGGCUGAUUAGGUAGUUGGUUUGAGGUAACGGCUCACCAAGCCUUCGAUCAGUAACUGGUGUGAGAGCACGACCAGUCACACGGGCACUGAGACACGGGCCCGACUCCUACGGGAGGCAGCAGUAAGGAAUAUUGGUCAAUGGAGGCAACUCUGAACCAGCCAUGCCGCGUGAAGGAUGAAGGCCCUCUGGGUUGUAAACUUCUUUUAUGUGGGAAGAAAUGUAUUCUUUACAGAGUACUUGACGGUACCAUAGGAAUAAGCACCGGCUAACUCCGUGCCAGCAGCCGCGGUAAUACGGAGGGUGCAAGCGUUAUCCGGAUUCACUGGGUUUAAAGGGUGCGUAGGUGGGAAUGUAAGUCAGUGGUGAAAUCUCCGUGCUUAACACGGAAACUGCCAUUGAUACUAUGUUUCUUGAAUUUUCUGGAGGUCAGCGGAAUAUGUCAUGUAGCGGUGAAAUGCUUAGAUAUGACAUAGAACACCAAUUGCGAAGGCAGCUAACUACGGGGGCAUUGACACUGAGGCACGAAAGCGUGGGGAUCAAACAGGAUUAGAUACCCUGGUAGUCCACGCCCUAAACGAUGGAUACUCGACAUUUGUGAUACACAAUAAGUGUC
rnacentral:rRNA from 1 species